GGGGCUGUAGCUCAGGGGGAGAGCGCUUGACUCACAUUCAAGAGGCCCAGGGUUCAAAUCCCUGCAGCCCCACCA
rnacentral:tRNA from 1 species